rnacentral:rRNA from 1 species
GAUGAACGCUGGCGGCGUGCCUAAUACAUGCAAGUCGAGCGAACGGACGAGAAGCUUGCUUCUCUGAUGUUAGCGGCGGACGGGUGAGUAACACGUGGAUAACCUACCUAUAAGACUGGGAUAACUUCGGGAAACCGGAGCUAAUACCGGAUAAUAUUUUGCACCGCAUGGUUCAAAAGUGAAAGACGGUCUUGCUGUCACUUAUAGCUGGAUCCGCGCUGCAUUAGCUAGUUGGUAAGGUAACGGCUUACCAAGGCAACGAUGCAUAGCCGACCUGAGAGGGUGAUCGGCCACACUGGAACUGAGACACGGUCCAGACUCCUACGGGAGGCAGCAGUAGCGAAUCUGCCGCAGUAGUCGAAAGCCUGACGGAGCAACGCCGCGUGAGAGAUGAAGGUCUUCGGAGCGUAAAACUCUGUUAUUAGUGAAGAACAUAUGUGUAAGUAACUGUGCACAGCUUGACGGUACCUAAUCAGAAAGCCACGGCUAACUACGUG